UUCUUUCUAUGAUAGUUAAUUUUAUGUGUCAACUUGACUGGGCCACAGGAUGCUGAGAUACCUGGUUCAACAUUAUUUAUGGGUGUUGAAAAGCUAAUUCACAGCUCCCCAGCUGCCUACUUGUGGGGACAGCUUUCUUCGGCUGCAGGCAGUAAUUGCUUUACUGCUAUCCUAAAUUGCCCUGGAGAAGAAAGCAAAGCUUUGCUUGCUUUAUCCUGUGGAUUUAAAGCAGUGCCUAUACUUGCUCUGCAUAGAAGAGAACUUCUCCUACAGAUAUUUUUAUUCUAAUCCACGCAACACAUUCCAGUUGAAACAAGAUUUUGAAGACACGCCCUAGUGUACAUUUUAUCUGCACUGGCCUCAUGAGGAAAAUCAAAUAAGAUUAUCUUACAUUACAAAAUUUUCUUGCAUACUUUAUGCAACAGUGGAAACAACACAGGAUUGGAAUUAGAAGACCUGGUUUUAAAUACCAAAUUGUUCCCCAGAAUGAUCUGAUCCUACUGCUUAGCCUAUCUGGAUGUCAGUUUCUACAUCUCUAAAAGGAAGACACACAGAGGAGAAUGCUAUCUGAAGAUGGAGGCAGAGAUUGAAGUGAUGCAUCUACAGGGAUUGCUGGCCGCCACCACAAGCUAGAAGAAGCAAGGGAGGAUUAUUCCCUAGAGCCUUUGGAUGGAGCAAGUAGAAUCCAAGAAGACUCUAAAACCUCCAGUACUCAUGAAGAGAUGAGUUUGCUCAUUAUCAAUCUCAUUGAUCCUUAGCAUCGGAGCUGAGAGGGAGCCAGGAUGUUCAUCACACUGUGUAAAUGGCCUCUGUGAAGAACUUCCUGGGGAAAAUUCUUCAAAUCAAAGGCAGAGGGUAAGGAAGAAAAUGAGAACUGAAACUGCUCCAAUCCCAGCUAGGAGAGAGGAAGAACUGUAAAGAAACCCCCCAAAUUACAUUGUAGAAUUAUUUUUCCCUAUGGUAUUAGGUUGAUCCCCCUUUCCUGGCCACCAGCAGCCCCUUUCCACACUUCUAGGAGCACCAGGAUCAAUUACCAUUCAUUGUUAUUUCAUGUGCAUAGACAACAGAACUUGCUGCUGUCAUAAAAGUAAAGGAACAGAUUUCUUAAAUUGCUACUUGAAGGAGCUCUUCUAUAUCAGUGCCAUUAAAUUAAAUUUCUGCUCUGUAUAAUGCAUAAAAAUGGCUUGUGAAUUUUUUUUCCUUGGGUGACUCAUUUUGUUUGAACUCCAAAGCAAUUCCUCAGAAACGGAAAGAGGCUAUUUAAAAAUGAGCUGUGAGAUUGUCAUUAAAAAUCAUUUUUUUUAAAGCAAAGGAGGUCUCUCCUAGCACCAAAUGAUAAAAUACAAAUUUGAGAAUCCUGAACUCAGUUCUCAAAGGUAUCACCUUUGAAAAGGAAGUUUAAAAAAUAUUAAGUAACCUUUUAAAAAGUAAUUUUAAGGAAGUGAAGAAAUAAGAAUAAAAUCUUAAUUUUUAAGUGAAAAACUUUACUUUUUCUUAAGAGAAGAGUUUCUUGGUACCUCUUUCUGUCUUUUGUUUUUGUUUUUGUUU
rnacentral:lncRNA from 10 species